UGGGUGUGUGUCUGUGUGUGUGUGUGUGUGACCAUUUUUUGCACACACACACACACAGAACACACUCCCUGU
rnacentral:pre_miRNA from 1 species